rnacentral:rRNA from 1 species
GAUGAACGCUGGCGGCGUUCCUAAUACAUGCAAGUCGAGCGAACGGACGAGAAGCUUUCUUCUCUGAUGUUAGCGGCGGACGGGUUAGUAACACGUGGAUAACCUACCUAUUAGACUGGGAUAACUUCGGGAAACCGGCGCUAAUACCGGAUAAUAUUUUGAACCGCAUGGUUCAAAAGUGAAAGACGGUCUUGCUGUCACUUAUAGAUGGAUCCGCGCUGCAUUAGCUAGUUGGUAAGGUAACGGCUUACCAAGGCAACGAUGCAUAGCCGACCUGAGAGGGUGAUCGGCCACACUGGAACUGAGACACGGUCCAGACUCCUACGGGAGGCAGCAGUAGGGAAUCUUCCGCAAUGGGCGAAAGCCUGACGGAGCAACGCCGCGUGAGUGAUGAAGGUCUGCGGAUCGUAAAACUCUGUUAUUAGGGAAGAACAUAUGUGUAAGUAACUGUGCACAUCUUGACGGUACCUAAUCAGAAAGCCAAGGCUAACUACGUG